rnacentral:rRNA from 1 species
UACGAAGGGGGCUAGCGUUGCUCGGAAUACUGGGCGUAAAGCGCACGUAGGCGGAUUGCUAGUCAGGGUGAAGGUCGAGCCGACUCAACUCGAACUGCCCUUGAUACUGGCGGUCUCGAGUCCGGGAGAGGUGAGUGGAACUGCGAGUGUAGAGGUGAAAUUCGUAGAUAUUCGCAAGAACACCAGUGGCGAAGGCGGCUCACUGGCCCGGUACUGACGCUGAGGUGCGAAAGCGUGGGGAGCAAACAGG